rnacentral:lncRNA from 1 species
AUGCAGCCCACCGGGGCAUUACUUAUUUCUCCAGCUCUGAUCCGCUGUUGUACUAGGGGUCUAAUCCGGCCUGUGUCUGCCUCCUUCUUGAAUAGCCCAGAGCAUUCAUCUAAACAGCCUUCCUACAGCAGCUCCCCACUUUAGGUGUGGCCAGACAGGAGUUCUAGACCAGGUUGUCUCCUGGGACAUUGACACCGCAGCCAAGUUUAUUGGUGCUGAGGCAGACACAGUUGGUGUGGUUGGUUCAGGGGCUAGCAUUGGAAUAGCGUUUGGCAGCUUGAUCAUUGGUUAUUCCAGGAACCCAUCUCUCAAGCAGCAGCUCUUCUCCUAUGCGAUUCUGGGCUUUGCCCUGUCUGAGGCCAUGGGGCUCUUCUGUUUGAUGGUCGCCUUCCUUAUCCUCUUCGCCAUGUGA